AGAGAGUUUAUUGUCUUGUUGAAGGAAAAAAUGUGAACCAGAUGUUACGUUUCUUGUUGAUGAAUAUUUUGUUAAUAAUUUCUUUUUCACUGCCAGGAACUUCCUUACACUGUCUUCCAAAAGCAAGCCCUGGAACUGUGUGCUAGGAAAGUUGCUGCAGCUUCUGGAGACAUGCGGAAUGCUCUAUGUAUAUGCAGGAGUGCAAUAGAGAUGCUUGAAGCAGAAAUUAGAGAAUCUGCGUGCAAUUUGAAUACUUCAUUGGAAGAGAAAUCUCUUAAUCUUGCUACAUCUCCUGAUUUUAUCAAGAAACGAGAAUUUGAUGUUGUAAG